rnacentral:rRNA from 1 species
GAUGAACGCUAGCGGCAGGCUUAACACAUGCAAGUCGAGGGUAACAUUGGUGCUUGCAUCAGAUGACGACCGGCGCACGGGUGCGUAACGCGUAUAGAACCUACCUUUUACAGAGGGAUAGCCUUUAGAAAUGAAGAUUAAUACCUCAUAGUAUUGCGAUUUGGCAUCAGAUUGUAAUUAAAGAUUUAUCGGUAAAAGAUGGCUAUGCGUCCUAUUAGUUUGUUGGUGAAGUAACGGCUUACCAAGACUACGAUAGAUAGGGGUUCUGAGAGGAUAGUCCCCCACACUGGUACUGAGACACGGACCAG